rnacentral:rRNA from 1 species
GACGGGGGGUGCAAGCGUUAUUCGGAAUCACUGGGCGUAAAGCGCGCGCAAGCGGCCGUUUAAGUCAGAUGUGAAAGCGCGGGGCUCAACCCCGGAAGUGCAUUUGAUACUAUUCGGCUUGAGUAUGGGAGAGGGAAGUGGAAGUCCUGGUGUAGAGGUGAAAUUCGUAGAUAUCAGGAGGAACACCGGUGGCGAAGGUGAUUUCCUGGAACAAUACUGACGAUGAGGCGCGAAGGCGUGGGGAGCAGACAGG